UGGGGAAUAUUGCACAAUGGGCGCAAGCCUGAUGCAGCCAUGCCGCGUGUGUGAAGAAGGCCUUCGGGUUGUAAAGCACUUUCAGCGAGGAGGAAGGUGGUGGACUUAAUACGUUCAUCAAUUGACGUUACUCGCAGAAGAAGCACCGGCUAACUCCGUGCCAGCAGCCGCGGUAAUACGGAGGGUGCAAGCGUUAAUCGGAAUUACUGGGCGUAAAGCGCACGCAGGCGGUUUGUUAAGUCAGAUGUGAAAUCCCCGGGCUCAACCUGGGAACUGCAUUUGAAACUGGCAAGCUAGAGUCUCGUAGAGGGGGUAGAAUUCCAGGUGUAGCGGUGAAAUGCGUAGAGAUCUGGAGGAAUACCGGUGGCGAAGGCGGCCCCCUGGACGAAGACUGACGCUCAGGUGCGAAAGCGUGGGGAGCAAACAG
rnacentral:rRNA from 1 species